UAGAGUGUGGUGUAGUGGGUAGCACGGAGAAUUUUGAGUUCUCAGGGUUGGGUUCGAGACCUAAGGCUCUAG
rnacentral:tRNA from 1 species